rnacentral:lncRNA from 1 species
GGGCACGUAGUGGCAGGAAGGCCAACACAAAAAGCCCUGCACUAAUCAGACCUGUUUGUAAUGAAAUGUCUGAAAUAAGCAUUGUGCUCUCUGGAGACAGACAAAAGACUUUUCAUCAUCUGAAGCCCUGUCAGGUAGGACUGUGUAACCUGGAUUGCCUUUUCCCCAGGAUUUUAGGCUUAACUUCAUUUGCUUUUUUGACUUCCCCCCAAUAAACUUAC